CGCGUCGCUCAGCAACCAAACAAACAGCGUCACGCACACGGCAGCGCGCAUGGAGAGACACGAGGACACCCGGGAGCGAGCCACAGGUGAACAGGGAGACAUCAAAUAGAAAAAAAACACAGAGAAAGAGAAGGAAACACACGCGCACAGUGUGUGUGUGUGAUACUAGGCAGCAGUUUCCUGGCAACGUCCUCGGCCAACCUCAGCAGCGGUCCUAAAGAGAGCCAACCUGGCUCCAGCUCCAUCCCGGCCCUCCCUGACAACAGAGGCGUUGACGUCGAUGUCAAAGUCCACAGUGUCUUGGAGCAGCGACGUCACGCGCUGGAACUCGGGUCUCCCAAAACAUUCAGAGAAACUUUUUAAAAUUAGACGUGAACGCAGCAUGACUAUUUAACAACUUUAAUAGGAAUCUACCGUUUUUCUCUGCUAAUAAUCAGACUUGAUCAAAGAUGUUUACAGUAUAAAAAAGUCCUCUGAAAUAAUUCUGAAAUCUCAUUUUUUAUUUAUGUUUUGACAAAAAUCUUUCUCAGAUAUUACCAGCAGAGUAUCGAGAGCAUCAGAAAAGUACUGGACAUUAGUAGACACUUGAGUGUUUGUGUUGACCUUAUUGAUCUGAAUCUGUAACUAAACGUAUCAGAUAAGUGUAGUGGAGUAAAAAGUACAAUUUCCCUCUGACAUGUAGUGAAACAUGAAAAGCAGGAAAAAUGUGCUAAAUACAGGAUAGAGAGCAUUUCUAUUGGCUCUCACAGCUCUCAACAUGGCCACUGUGAGCCUCUAACGGUGCUAACAGCGCUAACACUGCAAACAAUGGUGAAAGUUCUGACAAAGAUAACAGUGUUUACCUGAGGGGCAACUGGAGGGUGGGUGCUACGCUACCGCAACGACGGUCGGGAUGGCAUUAUCAGCUGUAACCACCGUAUAAGAGCAGUGCAGAGCGGCGGCCGUGGGUGAGCCAGUG